GGUAGGCGAAGAGAUCUGGCGUAACCUGCAUCAUCAUGCCUGCAGAAAACAGAAAGGACUUUUCAGACCUGGCAGAGUACAUCACCGAAGGGCUGGAAGUGCAUUUCGUGGAAAACUACAGCGAGAUCUACAAAAUCGUGUUCUCUGGACAAUAACGCGGAGUGUGGUUUUAUCUUUCGUUUUUAUCCCACAGAAGUAGCACGUAAAUGCUGCGCUGUGGCCUCUUGAUUUGUGAGAUGUGAAAGUCUGAGAUUCCUGAAACGUUUCAGACUCUGGGAUCCCGAAAGCCUCUAGUGAAGAUUUUAUAAUCACAUCCAAUUUCAUCACGAGUGUCAUAUUUGUAAAUAACUGCCUUAAUUGUACUCUCUCAAAUCAUUUACAUUAUAUAUAUAUUAUGGAA